rnacentral:rRNA from 1 species
UAACACAUGCAAGUCGAACGAAGCGAUGGGAACGGAGAUUCGUCGAAGGGAACCAUGACUUAGUGGCGGACGGGUGAGUAAUGUAUGAGCAACCUGCCUUUCAGAGGGGGACAACAGUUGGAAACGACUGCUAAUACCGCGUAAUGUGCAGAGGGGGCAUCCCUUUUGCACCAAAGGAUUUAUCCGCUGAAAGAUGGGCUCAUAUCUGAUUAGCUUGUUGGCGGGGUAACGGCCCACCAAGGCGACGAUCAGUAGCCGGACUGAGAGGUUGAACGGCCACAUUGGGACUGAGAUACGGCCCAGACUCCUACGGGAGGCAGCAGUGGGGAAUAUUGGGCAAUGGGCGAAAGCCUGACCCAGCAACGCCGCGUGAAGGAAGAAGGUCUUCGGAUUGUAAACUUCUUUUAUGAGGGACGAAGGAUGUGACGGUACCUCAUGAAUAAGCCACGGCUAACUACGUGCCAGCCGCAGC